rnacentral:rRNA from 1 species
CAUUUGUCUUUUAAAUGAAGACUUGUAUGAACGGCAAAACCUCCUCCAACUGUCUCCCCUCCCAUCCUUCCAAAUUUCCUCCUGUGUGAAGAAGCACAGAUACACCAGAAAGACGAGAAGACCCUGUCGAGCUUUAACCACUAAGUGGGCCUUACCCUUUCAGGCACCACCCAAAGGUUUUGGUUGGGGCAACCACGGAGAAAAAACAUCCUCCAGAACGAAUAGAAGAAAGCUUUUCACUAUUAUUACGACUAAGAACCAGGAACUGGUAUUCGGAAAGAGUUACCGCAGGGAUAACAGCGUCAUCUCCUCUAAGAGUCCUUAUUGACGAGGAGGUUUGCGACCUCGAUGUUGGAUUGGGGCCCCCUUAGGGUGCAGAAGCUCUAAACGGUUAGACUGUUCGUCUAUUAAAGCCCUACAUGAUCUGAGUUCNAAACCGGAGAU